UAUCACCAGUUCUCAUAUGAUCACUGAAGUUAAGCAACAUCAAGCCUGCUCAAUACCUAAAUGGGUGACUGCUUGAGAAUACCAGGUGUUGUAU